AGCAGCCGCGGUAAUUCCAGCUCCAAUAGCGUAUAUUAAAGUUGCUGCAGUUAAAAAGCUCGUAGUUGAAUUUCGGGACCGAUAUAUCGGUCGUGCCUCGGUACGUACUGGUAUUUUCGGUUUCUCCCUUCUGACGAACCUUGAUGUCAUUAAUUUGGUGUCUUGGGGAAUCAGGACUGUUACUUUGAAAAAAUUAGAGUGUUUAAAGCAGGCUCACGCUUGAAUACAUUAGCAUGGAAUAAUGAAAUAGGACGUUUGAUUCUAUUUUGUUGGUUUCUAGGAUCGACGUAAUGAUUAAUAGGGAUAGUUGGGGGCAUUAGUAUUCAAUUGUCAGAGGUGAAAUUCUUGGAUUUAUUGAAGACUAACUACUGCGAAAGCAUUUGCCAGGAUGUUUUCAUUAAUCAAGAACGAAAGUUAGGGAUCGAAGACGAUCAGAUACCGUCGUAGUCU
rnacentral:rRNA from 1 species